UACGUAGGUGGCAAGCGUUGUCCGGAUUUACUGGGCGUAAAGAGCGCGCAGGCGGUCGUUCAAGUCGCGUGUGAAAGCCCCCGGCUCAACUGGGGAGGGUCACGCGAUACUGCUCGACUCGAAGGCAGGAGAGGGAAGUGGAAUUCCCGGUGUAGUGGUGAAAUGCGUAGAUAUCGGGAGGAACACCAGUGGCGAAGGCGACUUCCUGGCCUGUUCUUGACGCUGAGGCGCGAAAGCUAGGGGAGCAAACGGGG
rnacentral:rRNA from 1 species